AUCUUUGCGCUUGGGGCAAUGUCGCAGACUGUGAGGUCUAACCGAGUCGCUGGUUGAAAACUUAUUCCUUCCCCGUCGGUCGUGUCCCGCAAGGGACCUUCCGCAAUAUUUGGCGGCUUCACGGCC
rnacentral:snRNA from 1 species